GCAGGAGAGUUACUGGGGUCUGGUUGUAGCGGCAGGAGAGUUACUGGGGUCUGAUUGUAGCAGCAGGAGAGUUACUGGGGUCUGGUUGUAGCGGCAGGAGAGUUACUGGGGUCUGGUUGUAGCAGUUCUGCGCGUCACUUCAACAGUCUCGGUAACACGGCACCUGUGGUGUUGCUGCGCUACAGGCAGGAGGUGGGGCUGCAUUUCUGAAAUAUUGCCGGACACAAACAGACAGUCCCAUUUACCGGCUGCCGCAAGGCGACGGGAGAAGUUGUUUUUCUCGUCCUUGUCCAGAAGAGAAAAACAGGAGCGCACUGUGAGUCUUCAAGAUCACCGCGAGUGAAGGACAGACCGCACAGCCUCGCAGAUGCGGCUCGGAUUGGUAAAAACCGGACAAACACGCCGAUACCUGGGCUUUACCUACGUGACACAAGCUCAGCACGACGUUCGGGAAACAGUUUUUAAUCUUUCGGCUUCCCCACCCACACGGAACUGUGACGGCCCGAUCCCCUGCGAGUCAAAACACGUGCCACUUCCUGAGCGGCGUGACUCCUGAAGGGCUCGCCUCGCGCUCGUUCCCCGUCGCCCGUGGACGUGGCCCCGCGGGGCUCGAGGCUGAGCCGGAGGGAUGGAGCUCGCGCUGGGACUCGCCGCGCUCGCGCUGAUCCUCGUGGCGCCGGCCGUGGGACGGGAGCUGAGGAGGAACAAUCUCGCCAUCACACUCGUCCGAGAGCUGGCUGACCCUCACCGGACCGGGCCGGAGCCGGAGGCCAGGCCCAGCCUGACCCUCUCGACACUGACGCUGUGCCCGCCCGGACGGGCCCACUGCAGCACCUGUGUCAGGGCCCAGGUGGCGCUGCCCUGCAGGGUUCUGCCCAGAAACAUUGUGCUGGACUUCCUGGAGCUGAGCAGCAACCGCCACUGGGAGGUCAGGGUGCGCGGGAGACGCCGUGCCACUACAGAAACCUGGAAAUGGCAGGAGCAGAGAAGGGCUUGGAAGAUACUGGAGCCCCCAGACCCACAGCUGAAUUCGUCACACACACCCAGAACUUGGCAGCUGUCCUAUGAGUGUUUUGAGGCAGAGGGGGGGCGUGAUGUCCUGGUGUCUGUGUCUAGCAGUGAGCUCCAGGAGCCGGUGAGCGUGGCCUACACGGUGGAGGACAGCGAGAGAGGUACGGCCCAACACACUGUCACUGCAGGGAGCAGCCUGAGAACGUUACAGGAGUGCAGGAGUUCACCAUGUGAUGUUCUAUUCAUUAUAGCAGAUUGCAGUGUCCAAUAUUUUAUUUGAGUUUACUCUGUUGUGGCGUAUGACAGUACAACAGUUUAUUCUACACUACAGCAGUAUGUUGCAGUACAUUGUUGGAUGUAAUUGAAUAUUACAACGUCAGGUAAUUAGAUUCAGUUCCUGUAAAGAAGUAGCAGUGUUCAGUCUGGGACACUAACAGCCCACACCUUGUUUUUGUACCUGUUGGGAAAUCGUGAACUCCCACUGCUAUAAAGUGCUGG
rnacentral:lncRNA from 1 species